CGUCUCAGUUCAGAUUGCAGGCUGCAACUCGCCUGCAUGAAGUCGGAAUUGCUAGUAAUCGCAGAUCAGCAUGCUGCGGUGAAUACGUUCCCGGGCCUUGUACACACCGCCCGUCACACCAUGGGAGUCGGGAACACCCGAAGUCCGUAGCCUAACCGCAAGGAGGGCGCGGCCGAAGGUGGGUUCGAUAAUUGGGGUGAAGUCGUAACAAGGUAUC
rnacentral:rRNA from 1 species